AUGACUUCCGCAUUGCCUCGCUUAUUAACAACAGCUUCAUAAAACCACACACAGGCUUAUUACACCAACACACACAAUCUCUCACACACACACUCACUCAAUCUCUCUCACACACACACAAUCACACACACACACACACAAUCACAGACACACACACAAACUCACACAAUCUCACACACACACUCACUCACUCUCUCUCACACACACACACUCACUCUCUCUCACACACACACACACACUCACAGAGACUGUAACGUUCUGUGCUUCACGGAAACAUGGCUCACUGGAGAGACGCUAUCCGAAGCGGUGCAGCCAACGGGUUUCUCCACGCAUCCCGCCGACAGAAACAAACACCUUUCUGUAUUACCUCUCCACCACGUCGUCUCCGCUCCAGCAGGUGAAGUCCUCCACCACCGUCUCUCCUUCACACAGCAUCUCCGGCAGCACCGCGAAGAACAACUUGUAGCGCUGGACGUAGCUCAGAAACUCCCUGGGAUGGAGAGAUGGAAAGAGAGGAUGGAGAGAACAGGGAGGACGGAGGGCGACAGAAUGGAGAGAGAUGGAGACAAAGACGGGAGUGAGGAGGGAAAGAGGGGUGAGAGGAACUGAGCCCUAGGACCAUGCCUCAGGACUACCUGACAUGAUGACUCCUUGCGGUCCCCAGUCCAUCUGGCCGUGCUCCUGCUCCAGUUUCAACUGUUCUGCCUGUGAUUAUUAUUAUUUGACCAUGCUGGUCAUUUAUGAACAUUUGAACAUCUUGGCCAUGUUCUGUUAUAAUCUCCACCCGGCACAGCCAGAAGAGGACUGGCCACCCCACAUAGCCUAGUUCCUCUCUAGGUUUCUUCCUAGGUUUUGACCUUUCUCGGGAGUUUUUCCUAGCCACCGUGCUUCAACACCUGUAUUGCUUGUUGCUGUUUGGGGUUUUAGGCUGGGGUUCUGUACAGCACUUUGAGAUAUCAGCUGAUGUACGAAGGGCUACAUAAAUAAAUUUGAUUUGAUUUGAUAGAACAUAGAGAUAGAAACAGAGAGAUCGAGUUAGAAAACAUAGAGACAGAGAUAGAAAACAUAGAGAUAGAAACAUAGAUAGAGAUAGAAAUAGAAACAGAGAUAGACUUAGAAACCAGAGAGUUAGAAUUAGAAACAGAGAGAGAUAGAACACAUAGAUAUAGAGAUAGACAGAGAUAGAAACAGAGAGGUAGAAAACAUAGAAAUUGAGUUAAAAAACAGAGCAAUAUAGAUAAAAACAGAGAGUUAAAAAACAGUGUUUGACACAAAGGUAGAGACAGAAACAGAGAGAUAGAGUUUAAAAAACAGAGAGAUAGAGAUAGAAACAGAGAUAUAGAGUUAGAAAACAGAGAGAUAGAGACAGAAAACAGAGAGAUAGAGAUAGAAACAGAGAGUUAGAAAACAGAGAGACAGAGAGUUAGAGUUAGAAACAGAGAGAUAGAGAUAGAAACAGAAAACAGAGUUAGAAACAGAGUUAGAAACAGAGAGAUUGAGUUAGAAAACAGAGCGAUAGAGAUAGAAACAGAGUGAUAUACAGUGCCUUGCGAAAUUAUUUGUCCCCCUUGAAGAAGGUGCACUGGUCAGAUGAAACCAAAAUUGAACUUUUUGGCAACAAUGCAAAACGUUAUGUUUGGCGUAAAAGCAACACAACGCAUCACCCUGACCACACCAUCCCCACUGUCAAACAUGGUGGUUGGUGGCAGCAUCAUGGUUUGGGCCUGCUUUUCUUCAGCAGGGACAGGGAAGAUGGUUAAAAUUGAUGGGAAGAUGGAUGGAGCCAAAUACAGGACCAUUCUGGAAGAAAACCUGAUGGAGUCUGCAAAAGACCUGAGACUGGGACGGAGAUUUGUCUUCCAACAAGACAAUGAUCCAAAACAUAAAGCAAAAUCUACAAUGGAAUGGUUCAAAAAUAAACAUAUCCAGGUGUUAGAAUGGCCAAGUCAAAGUCCAGACCUGAAUCCAAUCGAGAAUCUGUGGAAAGAACUGAAAACUGCUGUUCACAAAUGCUCUCCAUCCAACCUCACUGAGC